rnacentral:rRNA from 1 species
CCUACGGGUGGCAGCAGUGGGGAAUAUUGGGCAAUGGGCGCAAGCCUGACCCAGCAACGCCGCGUGAAGGAAGAAGGCUUUCGGGUUGUAAACUUCUUUUCUGAGGGACGAAGAAACUGACGGUACCUCCGGAAUAAGCCACGGCUAACUACGUGCCAGCAGCCGGGGUAAUACGUCGGGGGCAAGCGUUCACCGGAUUUAUUGGGGGUAAAGGGCGUGGAGGGGGGAAAGCAAGUCAGAUGUGAAAACCCGGGGCUCAACCCCGAGCCUGCAUUUGAAACGGUUUGUCUUGAGUGCUGGAGAGGCAAGCGGAAUGCCGUGUGUAGCGGUGAAAUGCGUAGAUAUACGGAGGAACACCAGUGGCGAAGGCGGAUUGCUGGACAGUAACUGACGCUGAGGCGCGAAAGCGUGGGGAGCAAACAGGAUUAGAUACCCUUGUAGUC